UUGGAGGGCAAGUCUGGUGCCAGCAGCCGCGGUAAUUCCAGCUCCAAUAGCGUAUAUUAAAGUUGUUGCAGUUAAAAAGCUCGUAGUUGAACUUCGGGAUCAAUUGAUUGGUCAUGCCAUUGGUAUGUACUGGUCAUAUUGGUUCUCACCUUCUAAGGAACCAUAAUGCCAUUGAUUUGAUGUUUUGGGGAAUUAGGACUGUUACCUUGAAAAAAUUAGAGUGUUUAAAGCAGGCUAACGCUUGAAUACAUUAGCAUGGAAUAAUGAAAUAGGACAUCGCAUUCUAUUUUGUUGGUUUCUAGGAUCGAUGUAAUGAUUAAUAGGGAUAGUUGGGGGCAUUAGUAUUCAAUCGUCAGAGGUGAAAUUCUUGGAUUUAUUGAAGACUAACUACUGCGAAAGCAUUUGCCAAGGAUGUUUUCAUUAAUCGAGAACGAAAGUUAGGGGAUCGAAGGCGAUCAGAUACCGUCGUAGUCUUAACCAUAAACUAUGCCGACUAGGGAUCGGAUGAUGUUGAUUUUUUAAUGACUCAUUCGGCGCCUUACGGGAAAC
rnacentral:rRNA from 1 species